CCGACCCUGAGCAGUGAUGGACCCCCCAGCCCGGGUCUGACCCUGAGCAGUGAUGGACCCCCUAACCCGGGUCUGACCCUGAGCUGUGAUGGACCCCCUAACCCGGGUCCGACCCUGAGCAGUGAUGGACCCCCUAACCCGGGUCUGACCCUGAGCUGUGAUGGACCCCCCAGCCCGGGUCCGACCCUGAGCAGUGAUGGACCCCCCCAGGUCUGACCCUGAGCAGUGAUGGACCCCCCCCCCCAGGUCCGACCCUGAGCUGUGAUGGACCCCCCCCCCCAGGUCCGACCCUGAGCAGUGAUGGACCCCCUAACGCAGGUCCAACCUUGAGCAGUCCGGGGCGCCUGGGAGGCUUAGCCUGAUGGUUAAGUUUCUGACUCUUCUUUUGGCUCCGGUCAUCAUGAUCUCACGACCACCGGGUGUGGAGUCCACUUGCGGUUCUCUCUCCCUCAGCCCCUCCCUGCUCCCACAGUCUCCCGCUCUCUUAAAAGAAUAAUUAAAAAAGGAGGAAGUUGCCCUCAUUUGGGCAGCUCCUAGAUCGUCAUGCACUGAAUGAAAUUAAGUUCUCAGACAAGGAUCUGCGCGUGGCGCCAGGCUGCCUCCGGGAGAGACGGGGGCUGGAUUCUGCACGUAGCUUUUGAUUUUUAUCAGAAAAGCAAGGACAGAUGCCUCCGGGCAUGGCAGAGGAGUACAGAGAGAGGGCACGUGUCCUGAAGCCAUAAAGUGUGCUUGUGUAGGCACGCGGGGCGUCCGUCACGGGAUAAGGGAGGAGCAGGGCGUUCGUGCUGGUCACCGUCAGGCGCAGGAAGGGGACCCAAGGGUUACAGGCGUUCAGGGCUCCUCACCUCUGCCCCUGGGGAUCGUGGGGUCCGGUUGCUUCGAGGCCAUUGUGCUCAACAGCCCGGGACCGGGAACCCUGCCGACGUUUUCAGGGGCUCCACACUCGUCCCGUGGGGCUUACAGUACACUUUCUGAGAACUCCACAUACAUGUACUGAAAAGAAAAUGCGGUUUCAUUUGAGAAUGGGUAUCACUAACCGCAUUUUCCCGCUUGCAUAUUUAGUGUAUUUAAAAAAUAUUUUUGGGAAUUCAUCAGGCAGCUUGGAAUUGUGGCAAAAAGCAGAGGACAACCUGGUAGGCAAACGAUGCUGAGUGAAACGCACACUGUAGCAGCCACAGGCAGGAAAUGGCUACAGUUGAAAAGAUGGGCAUUUUCUAAGAGACGUCAUGAUUGGAACAGAGUCAAAUGCUCGAUCGUCUAGCUGUUGUGUUUGCGUCUGGUUUCACAAAUCUCCACAUCAUUCAGGAACAGAAAAUACAGGACAGCUCCAAGCCCCGGCUAAUGCGGGAUGAAGGGCUUGGGGGCUUGGGGCCCUCGGCUUAGGGGCCGGCUCCCUCCCCGAACUUGCAGACCCACUGGCCAGGCUGGGCCUCAUCAGCACCUUCUCCUUGGCUCCACUCCUUAAGGGGAAACCGAGGCAGGGGCUACGAGCUGUUGUCCACAGGCCUCCUGGGUCUAUCAGGAUCCAGAGUUCUCAUCUGGGGCCGCUGACUUCCAGGGGGCCGGUGUCCCCGCCUGCCACUGACGAUAACCUCACUGGUCCUUGCAAGGAUUCCGGAAGACCCCAAGGGGGACGCUCUGCCCCUGCAGGAGCAGUUUGCAGGUCACUCCAACUACAUCCCAGAUGCAGGGGGCUCAGCUCACGGCCCAGCGCCUGGGGUGGGGGCGUGGAAGCCCUCCAGAGCGGCGAGAGCCAGGAAGGCUGCUGGGUACCACAAGCUCAGCUUUCGGGAGAACCGACCUGGUUUUUAAGAGCAAACAUGCAAUGGCACAAGAGCACACCCAAUUCCAGCAGCUCACGGAGGGAGGGUCUCCUUCUUCUCCGACACCCCUGCAGGGGUGAGUGGAGCGCUUCUCGGGAACGUGCGCUCUUCCACGCCCACCCUGCGACUCACACGCCUGGCCCUUCCGUCACGCAGGGCCCUGGUCCCCAAACCAGGAGGAAACACAGUGCCGUUGGCUUUACGUGAACAGUAUUCGUGGAAGGGAAAACCUGCACAUUGUAACUUCAAAACGGAGGCAAUUUUAUGAUUCCCCAGAUUGAUAAAAGCUUUAAGUCACUCCACAAAUGAACAGAGAAAAUACUGCCUUUUUGCUCAUUUGAAAGCAAGAUCUCCGUGCUGGCCGCUAAGUCCCUCUGGACAAGGGGCGCAGGCGUGCGGCUGCACCGCAGGCACAGUGAGACGGUCAGAGGGACACUCCGACUCCACCCGCAGGCACAGCUGGGCGACCACGUCCUCCAAGUCCCAGGGAGCUGACUGUCUUUCACCUUGUUCAGCAGGGAGCUCGUGGCCACGCAUCCCCUGCAGCGUGGGGCCGGCUCCGCCCAGUCCCCCGCAGCGGACUCCCUGCCCCUCCCACGGCUCCCCCGGCCGCGCCCCUGGCCUGCGCCCCAGAGUGGAAGACACUCCGUUUGCCUUUUAAUAGUAAACUUGAAAUAAAAGUGACAGAACACUGAG